GGAACGGUCGAGAUGACUAACCGAUAUUAUAGAAAUAGCGAAGAUAUGAUUAUAGAAGAAUCAACCAUCUUUUGGUUUCUUCUUGAUUUUUCUAUAAUCAUAUCUUCAUUAUUUUCAUAAUAUUGGUUAAUCAUCUCGACCGUUCG